rnacentral:rRNA from 1 species
UGCCAGCCGCCGCGGUAAUACGUAGGGAGCAAGCGUUGUUCGGAAUUACUGGGCAUAAAGCGCACGUAGGCGGUCUAGUCAGUCAGAUGUGAAAGCCCCUGGCUCAACCAGGGAACAGCAUUUGAUAUUGCUGGACUUGAGGGCGGCAGAGGAGAGUGGAACUCGUGGUGGAGCGGUGAAAUGCGUAGAUAUCACGAGGAACACCGGUGGCGAAAGCGACUCUCUGGGUCGUCCCUGACGCUGAGGUGCGAAAGCCAGGGGAGCGAACGGGAUUAGAUA